rnacentral:rRNA from 1 species
GACGAACGCUGGCGGCGUGCUUAACACAUGCAAGUCGAGCGGACAGGCCCUGCUUUUGCGGGGCGCUCGAGUGGCGCACGGGUGAGUAACACGCGAGUAACAUGUCCCUGAAAUUGGGAUAACUUCUGGAGACUGGGGCUCAUACCCGAUAGGAGCUCCUGCAGCACGGUGGGGGUUGGAAAGUUUCGGCGGUGGUGGCUGGACUCGCGGCUUAUCCGCUUGUUGGUGGGGUAGUGGCUUUCCAAGGCUUUGACGGGUAGCCGGCCUGGGAGGCUGACCGGGCACAUUGGGACUGAGGUACGGCCCAGACGGCAACGGGAGGCAGCAGGGGGAAAUAUGGCGCAAUGGGCGGAAGCCUGAUGCAGCGAUGCCGCGUGCGUGAUGACGGCUUUCGGGUUGUAAACCGCUUUCGCCGGUGAUGAAGAGUGAGUGACGGUAAUGGGUAAGGAAGCACCGGCUAACUACGUG